CGGACGGGUGAGUAAUGCGUGGAAAACCUGCCGUAUACUGGGGGAUAACACUUAGAAAUAGGUGCUAAUACCGCAUAAGCGCACAGCUUCGCAUGAAGUGGUGUGAAAAACUCUGGUGGUAUACGAUGGUUCCGCGUCUGAUUAGCUUGUUGGUGGGGUAAUGGCUCACCAAGGCGACGAUCAGUAGCCGGCCUGAGAGGGUGAACGGCCACAUUGGGACUGAGACACGGCCCAAACUCCUACGGGAGGCAGCAG
rnacentral:rRNA from 1 species